rnacentral:rRNA from 1 species
UGGCGCACGGGUGAGUAAUGCAUAGGUAACGUGCCCCUUAGUCUGGGAUAGCCACUGGAAACGGUGAUUAAUACUGGAUACUCCUUCUACCUUGAUGGUAGUCGGGAAAGUUUUUCGCUAAGGGAUCGGCCUAUGUUGUAUCAGGUAGUUGGUGAGGUAAUGGCUCACCAAGCCUAUGACACAUAGCGGGUCUGAGAGGAUGAUCCGCCACACUGGUACUGAGACACGGACCAGACUCCUACGGGAGGCAGCAGUGGGGAAUAUUGCACAAUGGACGAAAGUCUGAUGCAGCAACGCCGCGUGGAGGAUGACACAUUUCGGUGCGUAAACUCCUUUUAUAUAAGAAGAUAAUGACGGUAUUAUAUGAAUAAGCACCGGCUAACUCCGUGCCAGCAGCCGCGGUAAUACGGAGGGUGCAAGCGUUAUUCGGAAUCACUGGGCGUAAAGGGUGCGUAGGCGGUUUGGAAAGUCUGAUGUGAAAGCCUACAGCUUAACUGUAGAACUGCAUUGGAAACUUCCAGACUAGAAUACUGAAGGGGCAGAUGGAAUUAGUGGUGUAGGGGUAAAAUCCGUAGAUAUCACUAGGAAUACCGAAAGCGAAAGCGAUCUGCUGGGAAGUUAUUGACGCUGAGGCACGAAAGCGUGGGGAGCAAACGGGAUUAGAUACCCCGGUAGUCCACGCCCUAAACGAUGAAUGCUAGUCGUCGGAAAGCUCGUCUUUUCGGUGAUGCAGUUAACACAUUAAGCAUUCCGCCUGGGGAGUACGGUCGCAAGAUUAAAACUCAAAGGAAUAGACGGGG